AAGUCGUAACAAGGUUUCCGUAGGUGAACCUGCGGAAGGAUCAUUACCAAAUCCAAAAUUACCCUAACCCCAUGUGAACUAUUAUAAAAGUCUGUCUUUGGGAGGACAGAAACAACAAAAUGGGAGAGUUUUUUCUCAUUUUGUGAGUUUUUGUCUCCCAAAUGAGUCCGGCAUAUUAUUUAUGAUAAAAAAACGGAAGCUUUCUUCUUCUUUUUUUUUCCCCAUAAGUAAUGUUGUUUCAGAUUCAAAAACCUUUAAACCACUUGAUUCAUUUUGUUGGAAUUUUCUUUUAUUAAUUUUUCAAAUAAAAGACAACUUUUAACGGCGGAUCUCUUGGCUCGU
rnacentral:misc_RNA from 1 species